CCUACGGGAGGCAGCAGUGAGGAAUAUUGGUCAAUGGACGAGAGUCUGAACCAGCCAAGUAGCGUGAAGGAUGACUGCCCUAUGGGUUGUAAACUUCUUUUAUAUGGGAAUAAAAUGUUCCACGUGUGGGAUUUUGUAUGUCCCAUAUGAAUAAGGAUCGGCUAACUCCGUGCCAGCAGCCGCGGUAAUACGGAGGAUCCGAGCGUUAUCCGGAUUUCUUGGGUUUAAAGGGAGCGUAGGUGGUAUGUUAAGUCAGUUGUGAAAGUUUGCGGCUCAACCGUAGAAUUGCAGUUGAAACUGGCUGUCUUGAGUGCAGGAGAGGUGAGCGGAAUUCGUGGUGUAGCGGUGAAAUGCUUAGAUAUCACGAAGAACUCCGAUGGCGAAGGCAGCUCACUGGACUGCAACUGACACUGAGGCUCGAAAGUGUGGGUAUCAAACAGGAUUAGAUACCCCAGUAGUC
rnacentral:rRNA from 1 species